rnacentral:rRNA from 1 species
UACGUAGGGACCAAGCGUUGUCCGGAAUCAUUGGGCGUAAAGAGCGUGUAGGCGGCUUGUUAAGUCUUGCGUGAAAUCUCGGGGCUCAACCCCGAGCGGUCGUGAGAAACUGGCAGGCUAGAGUGCGGGAGAGGAGAGUGGAAUUCCUGGUGUAGCGGUGAAAUGCGCAGAUAUCAGGAAGAACACCCGUGGCGAAGGCGGCUCUCUGGAACGCAACUGACGCUGAGACGCGAAAGCUGGGGGAGCGAACGGG